rnacentral:rRNA from 1 species
UACGAAGGGUGCAAGCGUUACUCGGAAUUACUGGGCGUAAAGCGUGCGUAGGUGGUGAGUUAAGUCUGUCGUGAAAGCCCCGGGCCCAACCUGGGAAUGGCGAUGGAUACUGGCUCGCUAGAGUGCGGUAGAGGAGAGUGGAAUUCCCGGUGUAGCAGUGAAAUGCGUAGAGAUCGGGAGGAACAUCAGUUGCGAAGGCGGCUCUCUGGACCAGCACUGACACUGAGGCACGAAAGCGUGGGGAGCAAACAGG